UAUUCUGGCUCAGGAUGAACGCUAGCUACAGGCUUAACACAUGCAAGUCGAGGGGCAGCGGGAUUGAAGCUUGCUUCAAUUGCCGGCGACCGGCGCACGGGUGAGUAACGCGUAUCCAACCUUCCGUACACUCAGGGAUAGCCUUUCGAAAGAAAGAUUAAUACCUGAUGGUAUCUUAAGCACACAUGUAAUUAAGAUUAAAGAUUUAUCGGUGUACGAUGGGGAUGCGUUCCAUUAGGUAGUAGGCGGGGUAACGGCCCACCUAGCCAACGAUGGAUAGGGGUUCUGAGAGGAAGGUCCCCACAUUGGAACUGAGACACGGUCCAAACUCCUACGGGAGGCAGCAGUGAGGAAUAUUGGUCAAUGGACGAGAGUCUGAACCAGCCAAGUAGCGUGAAGGAUGAAGGUCCUACGGAUUGUAAACUUCUUUUAUAAGGGAAUAAACCCUCCCACGUGUGGGAGCUUGUAUGUACCUUAUGAAUAAGCAUCGGCUAACUCCGUGCCAGCAGCCGCGGUAAUACA
rnacentral:rRNA from 1 species